rnacentral:rRNA from 1 species
GAUGAACGCUGGCGGCGUGCCUAAUACAUGCAAGUCGAGCGAACAGAUGAGGAGCUUGCUCCUCUGACGUUAGCGGCGGACGGGUGAGUAACACGUGGAUAACCUACCUAUAAGACUGGGAUAACUUCGGGAAACCGGAGCUAAUACCGGAUAAUCUAUUGAACCGCAUGGUUCAAUAGUGAAAGACGGUUUUGCUGUCACUUAUAGAUGGAUCCGCGCCGCAUUAGCUAGUUGGUAAGGUAACGGCUUACCAAGGCAACGAUGCGUAGCCGACCUGAGAGGGUGAUCGGCCCCACUGGAACUGAGCCACGGUCCAGACUCCUACGGGAGGCACCAGUAGGGAAUCUUCCGCAAUGGGCGAAAGCCUGACGGAGCAACGCCGCGUGAGUGAUGAAGGUCUUCGGAUCGUAAAACUCUGUUAUUAGGGAAGAACAAAUGUGUAAGUAACUAUGCACGUCUUGACGGUACCUAAUCAGAAAGCCACGGCUAACUACGUG